rnacentral:tRNA from 1 species
GGAGUCUUAGCUCAAUCGGUUAGAGCGCUGCCCUGUCACGGCAGAGGUUGCGGGUUCGAGUCCCGUAGACUCCG